GACGUAUGGGGCGAGCGUUGUUCGGAAUUAUUGGGCGUAAAGGGUAUGCAGGCGGUUUGACAAGUCUGGUGUGUAAGACUUCAGCUUAACUGAGGGAACGCGCCGGAAACUGUCAGACUAGAGUACAGGAAGGGGAGUUGGAAUUCCAGGUGUAGGGGUGAAAUCUGUAGAUAUCUGGAAGAACAUCAGUGGCGAAGGCGAACUCCUGGCCAUGUACUGACGCUGAGAUACGAAAGCGUGGGGAGCAAACAGG
rnacentral:rRNA from 1 species